CUACAUUUUGUGCUGUAAGAGAAUAUUGGUGGGAAGUUCCAACCUCUGCUGCCAUACCACCAACAUCCGCCUCUGAGGUCUGUGGGUCAGCGCCACAGAAUGAGAGGCAUUACUUUUUGGAGCAGACCCCACACGUGUCAACGUAUAACAUACAAACCUCAGGUCCACACCGAGCUGGUCUAGCAGGCGCCGGGGAAACAGCAAAAAGAAACUAAAAAGGGGAAGUUAUGAAAUGGUGUUUUUUCCCCAGAAACGUGAAAGGUGGUUGCUUGUCUGCAGCGGAAACCUCAGCACUGGGGUUUGCAGAGUAGUGUUGGGUCAGUCCAUCUGAGCACUGUGCUCCAUUGAGCCUCGGGCAUGGGGAGGAGCUGGCUGGCUGGGGCUGCAGGAGCCCUGCUGCUGUUGGGCUGCAUUGAAGAUGCUGGUCUGAUGGAGCCGGAGACCUGCAGCCCCCUAGGUGAUUUUCCCCCACCAGCUCUCCUACCAAACAUCUCCUCAGCUCAGGAAGGCAAUCUGGUGCUCGCCCGCUGCCUGGUUUUCUCCCAUCUCCCCAUCACCCACAUCUUCUUCUGCAAGAACGGAGUGGUGCUGGAGAACCACCCCGUGGGUCCCAAGGAAUUCACAGCCACACUCACCAUCCGGCUUUCUGCGGAGAGCAGUGGCACCUACUCCUGUGGGUACCGACGGCAAAGCAACGUUGGGCACAUCAAGAUCUCAAGUUUGAGCAUCCCAUGGCUCCUGACCAUCGAAGGUAGGAAGGGGGAGCUGAGGAACAGCAGCAGCACCGCCACCACCACCCCAGAGCUGCCAGCUGAAGGGCUGGGAAUCUCACUCAGCCUGGCCCUCGUGUUCAUCUCCCUCCUGGCUCUGGCUUUGAGCAUCCACUUCUUCCUGCAGAUAGGAAAGCGAGUCCAGCUGGCCAGCUUGAAGCAUUUCGUUCAUCCCCCAGUGGAAGAGCCCAGCGUUUCACAGAGGAAGAGUCCUCCAGGAUCUCUUGCAUCUGGAUGACUUCUUGUUGGACCACAGACGUGCUCUUGGAUGUGAAUAUUGCAGCCCUCAAUGGACAUAGCAGGGGGAAUUGGCCCAAGACAGAAUCCCUUAGGCUCAACACCAGCUGCUCUGCAUAGGCAAGAACCAACAGCACCUCUCCAGAUGUUCCAGUGCCAUAGCAACAGCUCUUGGACGUGGAAGUCCAUCAAUUAAUUAAAAAGUUGAUUUCCUCUCUUAAAAUCAACCCUUUUCCUUCGUCUCUGAAGAUUUCCUAGCUGCUCAAUUUCCCACUAGGUUUGAACUUCAGUCCCGGGUGAGUCUCAGCCUCAGAGAGGUAUGGUUGAUAACCAUCCUGGUGGCCAUCAAGAUAUCUUUGUUGCCCAAAGUAGCACCAGGUCCCUUUGCCAACAUCACCCAACUGUUAAGGAGUGUAAAUCCGAUGGGUCUUCCCAUCCAGGUCUUCCCACACUGCCCACCAAAGGCAGUGACUCACCUGAGUGAAUCCAAACUAGCAGAUGGGACCCAAUGGUGAAACCAUUGCCAUUCAGCCCUUUGGAGAUUUCCUCCUUGGCCAUGGUCCUGAGCUGCUGUUAUGACACAGGCUUGGAUUGGCAUUUCAGAGCUACCUUGCACCGUUCCUCCCCACAAAACCCAGCAAAGCUCAGACCCACCACCCCCAUCCACACCGCUGCCCCAGGACACCACAACGCUUUUCUGUUAUUGUUAUCUGCAAUGCUUUUUUAUUGUCAUGAUUUGCUGGCUCAGCUGCCAUUGCCUUUUCCAGCCGCAAGGAAGAACAGAAAGAGAAGAAGGAAAGCAAAACAAAACAAAAUAGAAGUAACAUCUGUGCACUGCUGCUCUACUUCAGCAUUUUUUUUGAGGGCAGCACGCUCUGCUUAGCACCUACUGGAAGAAGGGACCAUUCAUUCCUUCCUUCUUCUGGAAUUUUCUAAAUUUCCUUGGCUCAUGGUGCGUAAAGCGAAAGUGUGGUAUUGCCUCUGUAUAUGGGGGGGGACUAUCCUUGUUCUCCACAACUACUUUAAUGACGGACUUUGCAGCACUGGACAUGGUGGCCAUGACCUUUGUGCCACCAGCAGAGACCAUCAUGGUCUCCUGGGUUGCAUGGAGCUUGACAUUCCGGAGCAUGCCACUGUUUCUGGGAUUUGCUGGUAAACCUCUGUACAUCCUCAUAUAGACAUCCUCCAGCAAGCCAAGGUGGGCUUUUUCUGGGGAGAUCUCCACGGCAAACUCCAUGUAGUAAAAGCUGUAGUUGUAAGGGUUGGAGAAGAGGAUGGCCAGGGUGAAGGUUUCUGCCUCGUACACCAGGACACCCACGCUGCCCCGGAAACGGUGUGGGGAGUUGUUGAAGGUGCAGCAUUCCGUGGCUCCCGGUGGGAUGAUGGGGCUGGGGGGCACGGAGUUGUAGCCACUGAAGCAGUAGGCCCUGGAGAGAGAGGAGAGGUGAGGAUAGGGAGAGUGAGAGGGCAGGGAUGGGGAGAGGAGAUGGAGAAGGAGGGGAGGGGAGGGGAGGGGAGGGGGGGGGGGAGGGAGGGAGAGGAG
ensembl:lncRNA